UAGAAGCAAUGAGCUGCUUUAAAAGAAAAAAAAGGGGGGCGACCCUGUGCAUUCCUACAGUGCUUGCUAGAACAUUUUGAAACGGUUUGAGGCCUUGCCCUGCUGCAUCCAAAGCAAGGUUAUAGAAAUUUCAGACAGUC
ensembl:snoRNA small nucleolar RNA SNORA9